rnacentral:rRNA from 1 species
AUUGAACGCUGGCGGCAUGCUUUACACAUGCAAGUCGAACGGUGACAGGUUAAGCUGACGAGUGGCGAACGGGUGAGUAAUGCAUCGGAACGUGCCCGAUCGUGGGGGAUAACGCAGCGAAAGCUGCGCUAAUACCGCAUACGAUCUGAGGAUGAAAGCGGGGGACCGUAAGGCCUCGCGCGAUCGGAGCGGCCGAUGUCAGAUUGGGUAGUUGGUGGGGUAAAGGCCCACCAAGCCGACGAUCUGUAGCUGGUCUGAGAGGACGACCAGCCACACUGGGACUGGGACACGGCCCAGACUCCUACGGGAGGCAGCAGUGGGGAAUUUUGGACAAUGGGCGAAAGCCUGAUCCAGCAAUGCCGCGUGCAGGAAGAAGGCUUUCGGGUUGUAAACUGCUUUUGUACGGAGCGAAAAGGUCCUUUCUAAUACAAGGGGCUCAUGACGGUACCGUAAGAAUAAGCACCGGCUAACUACGUGCCAGCCGCCGCAGUAAGAC